rnacentral:rRNA from 1 species
GAUCCUGGCUCAGGACGAACGCUGGCGGCGUGCUUAACACAUGCAAGUCGAACGGAGUGCCCCAGACAGAGGUUUCGGCCAAUGGAAGGGAACACUUAGUGGCGGACUGGUGAGUAACGCGUGAGGAACCUGCCUUUCAGAGGGGGGACAACAGUUGGAAACGACUGCUAAUACCGCAUGACGCAUUUGGGUGGCAUCACCUGAAUGCCAAAGAUUUAUCGCUGAAAGAUGGCCUCGCG